rnacentral:rRNA from 1 species
AGAUUGAACGCUGGCGGCAUGCCUAACACAUGCAAGUCGAACGGGAGUAGCAAUACUCUAGUGGCGGACGGGUGAGGAAUACGUAGGAAUUUGCCCUUAAGUGGGGGAUAACCCGGGGAAACCCGGAUUAAUACCGCAUGACCUCGAAAGAGCAAAGUGGGGGAUCGCAAGACCUCACGCUUUUGGAGAAGCCUACGUCGGAUUAGCUAGUUGGUGAGGUAAUGGCUCACCAAGGCGACGAUCCGUAACUGGUCUGAGAGGAUGAUCAGUCACACCGGAACUGAGACACGGUCCGGACUCCUACGGGAGCAGCAGUGGGGAAUA